rnacentral:snRNA from 1 species
AUACCUUUCUCGGCCUUUUGGCUAAGAUCAAGUGUAGUAUCUGUUCUUAUCAGUUUAAUAUCUGAUAUGUGAGCCAUUGGCUCACGCGAUAUUAACUCAAUUUUUUAAGGGGUAGGUCCAUCAGAGUAGCUUGCUACCCGGGUCUUUGUGUGUUGCCUAGGUGUUGCACUACAGCCCAGGCCUGGCGCACCCCAC